GCCGUCGUGGUGUAACGGUAGCACACUCGGCGCGUAUUCGAGAGGUCCAGGUUCGAGUCCCGGCGAGGGCA
rnacentral:tRNA from 1 species